GACCUGGAGGUGGAGUGGACCGCAUCUGCACAUUGUGAUCAUCCAGACAUGGUAUACACGCAGAAGGCCCCCGUUCGAUUCGGGGCCAGGUCA